UUAUGAUUACAAUAAUCAAUUCAAUUUCCCUUUCAAUAUCCAUUCUUUAUCAAUGGUCAUCUAUUUUUGAGUAAACUGUCAACUGUGAGUCCAUUUUUGUAUUUGAUUUAUUUCAUUGUUAAAUUUUGAUAGCGCUAAGUAAAGCUCAAAUGUCCUGCUAUUUGAAACAGUUAAAUCAGUCAGAGAUGGCCAAAGUAAAUUGACUUGUCAACUGACUAAUGCAGCUGUUUUUAUCAUCGAUUGCGAUUGAUGGCCUAAACAUCCAAAUCUAGAUGUGGAUCAUUAUCGUUGAAACGUCUUCUUCUUCUUUCCUUUUUUACUCUCUCUCUCUCCUAAUUAACUUACCUGUCUCACCUAAUUUAGAGUGAACCUUAGGUGGUCAACCUUUAACCCAACCCUUUUCCUUGUCAAAGGAUGGGUCACCUCGAGUCACAAUCUCUUUACCCUAAGGUUACCUUAGAAAAGAAAGUUUGAAAAGAGAAGGAAAAAGUUGGCCUUAAUUGGUUUCGUUUUAACUAGUAUCAUGGACUUGACCAAGCCUAAACAGGUCAUCGCUGUCACGGCGAAACAUCAUAAGAUAAAGAUCGGUUUCUUUGUAAAUUCUGGUUCUCUUUUUACUUUUAAACUUGAGAAAGCAAAAAGCUAAGAAAAUACAAGUGCGAGUAAACGAGAGACGGAUUCAAGUCAUCAAGAAUCGCCUAAUGAAGACAUCAUUACUAGCAACACAACAAUAGACUAAAAUGUAAUAUCGAAAAUUUUUGAACCAUUUUUCAAAAU